AUUGAACGCUGGCGGCAGGCCUAACACAUGCAAGUCGAACGGUAGCACAGAGAGCUUGCUCUCGGGUGACGAGUGGCGGACGGGUGAGUAAUGUCUGGGAAACUGCCUGAUGGAGGGGGAUAACUACUGGAAACGGUAGCUAAUACCGCAUAACGUCGCAAGACCAAAGAGGGGGACCUUCGGGCCUCUUGCCAUCAGAUGUGCCCAGAUGGGAUUAGCUAGUAGGUGGGGUAAUGGCUCACCUAGGCGACGAUCCCUAGCUGGUCUGAGAGGAUGACCAGCCACACUGGAACUGAGACACGGUCCAGACUCCUACGGGAGGCAGCAGUGGGGAAUAUUGCACAAUGGGCGCAAGCCUGAUGCAGCCAUGCCGCGUGUAUGAAGAAGGCCUUCGGGUUGUAAAGUACUUUCAGCGGGGAGGAAGGCGAUACGGUUAAUAACCGUGUCGAUUGACGUUACCCGCAGAAGAAGCACCGGCUAACUCC
rnacentral:rRNA from 1 species